rnacentral:misc_RNA from 1 species
AAAAAAAAAAAAAAAAACCAAAUAUUUUCGCUAAUUAACAGUUGUAUCCAAAUAUUCUAAUUUUGAACCAACAUUUAAUAUUGAGAGCAAUUGUAUCCAAACCUCAAAAUCUGUGUGAUCAAAAUUCAUAUUUUAGUAUUUUAGGGUGUUAAACUAUUAUUCGAGUUUAUUUUGUUAUUAGAGAAAAAGUUUGGCCUUCUUGUCCAAUGAGUCUCAAAUAAAAUUGAGGCUCUAUAUCCCCUAAUGUAUAACAAAUAUUAUGAUGCUACAACUUUAUCAUUUUCAGAAUUAAGUCCUAAAAGAUUUUUUUUAUUUUUCUAUUUUUUUACAUUCAAGUCCUAAUGUCUUUGAAAUAGCUAACCAUUAGUCCUAUGGUCAACACCAAAUUCCACAGGACAAUGCUAACUUUAAAAAAGAAUUUUAGUGCUAAUACUUUAAAAAUAACUCUUUUUUUUUUCUGCUCUGCUCUUUUUCAACUUUUUCCUAUUCAAUUUGCCAAAAAAAAAAAUGUAAUAGUUCACCAAAAUCACAUAAAAAGAUGUAACUUUUCAACCAACAAAAAAAUAAAAAUUUUCACAUUAAAAUUUCUUUCCUCGUACAACAAAUUAAAAUAUUUUAAGAUUUAUUUUUUCAUUCAGUUAUCUUUGAAUCUUCAAUUUUACUUAAAUUUUAAGUUGAACAACUUGAAUUAUUUAAUAUACGACUCAAAAUUUCAAAUUAAAAUUCAGUCAUAUUCUAAAAUAAUUCAACAAAUAACAAUGUAAAGUUCAUAAUGAAUUUUGUUCAAACCAAUAAAUGACAAUCUAAGAUUGACCAUAUCUUAAAUAAUCUAAGAUGUGCAACUUAAAAUUUAAGCAUUGGAGAUUCAAAGGUAAUUAAAGAAAA